rnacentral:lncRNA from 1 species
GACUAGACAUAAGCUAAUACUUUCUUACCUUAGGAUUUGAAAGUGUUUGUUUUAUAUCAAGCAUUUGCAGAUCGAUUAGCUUGAAUCUCGAUCCUAUAUGUAUUAUUUUGUAAGAUAACCCCAAAGAAUCUAGAAGAUAUAAUUUCUACCAUGCUCAAGAAUAAGAGUUGUUCGGCAUUCUUUUUUUUAAAAAAAGUACCUUGAUGAAAGAACUGAUGCCUCUAAUGUGAAACUUAUGAAGUUCGAUAGGUAAAAAAAUCGACACAAUCUAGUGAAUCUAUAGAAUCAAAUUUGAUUAGAUCAAACUCAAAAUCCAUUGUAGAGGCACCAUUAAGG